AUCAGCUCCAGAAAAUACUGUUCACACUUCCCCAGAUUCUCCUUGUCACCAUUAUAGCCCUUGAGAAGUUCCAUUUCCUCCUUAGUAGGGCAGAAUUUGAUAAGAUUUUCCACUUGAUCAGCAUCUAAUGUUGAUUCAUCCAUUGCUAGAACUGCAGCCAUCAUGUCAGACAGUGGCAUCUUAACUUUUGUAAGCAUAAUUUCAGUGUUGUUGGCCCUCCUCAGGUCAAUCAGAUGAACUUUGUCAGUUUUUGAUCCAACAGAUUUGCGUCUUCCUCCACCUUUGCCUCCUGAAUCAGCAGGUUUGGGGACUGUUGCCGAGAAAAGGCUCUCUAGCUCUGACACGUCAAACUCUGGUGCAAUUUGGGGCUCCCCAUGUCUUUGCAACUCCUCCCACAAACUUCCUUGUAAUGCCCUUGUUACUUUGCUCCAAUGCAGAGGCUUUAAGGAUGAUCUUCUAGGUGCUGUGGCUGUUGAACCCAUCCCUAAAGAACGUGAAAACCCACGCCCUCUUCCAGAAGCUAGGCCUCUUGUAUCAGUUACAGCUCCUUUGCCACCUAAUGGAGGAGGCGGAGGGGGUCCAACACCUGUACGUCCAGGAGGAGCAGGAGGCCCAGGAGGUGCAGGAGGCCCAGGAACACGGCCACCAGGAGGAGGUGGGGGAGGUGGGCC
rnacentral:misc_RNA from 1 species